rnacentral:rRNA from 1 species
UACGUAGGGUGCGAGCGUAAUCGGAAUUACUGGGCGUAAAGCGUGCGUAGGCGGUUCGUUAAGUCAGCUGUGAAAGCCCCGGGCUCAACCUGGGAACUGCGGUUGAAACUGGCGAACUAGAAUCUGGCAGAGGGGGGUGGAAUUCCACGUGUAGCAGUGAAAUGCGUAGAGAUGUGGAGGAACACCGAUGGCGAAGGCAGCCCCCCUGGGCUGAGAUUGACGCUCAGGCACGAAAGCGUGGGGGAGCAAACAGG